rnacentral:lncRNA from 10 species
CUCUUUGCUGUUUGUCCAAGACUCAGUGUCCCGACCCUUGUUCUCGCCGUGAAUGUCAAUGGGCCAAUCCUCUCUGUCCUUUCAGACACACACACACCUGUGUCCACCCCUUCUGUUCGCCACACCCUGCGUCUGGCCGGUCCCCCCACUGCUGCUGCUAUCAACGCCAGAAUAAACACACUCCGUGGGUCUCACUCCAACUGGGCCUCCUGUCCUCUCUGAGACUGGGAAACCGGAUUGGAACAUGCUGGCUCUGCAAGCAGACAAAUUUGUGUUUCUUUCAAUGACUGGGCAACUUAAUGAUCUCUCUGAGCCUCAGUUUAUAAAAAUGGUGUUAGUCAGGAUCAUUGUGAGUACAGAACACAAAAUUCAACCCAAAGCCAUAAACAGAAUUGAAAGACCUCUGUCCAUGGAAAGCCUAUGAACACAUUGAACACAGAGGGACUUCAGGCAUGGUUAGAUCCAGCUGUUCAAGGGACUCUCACUUCUGCUUUCCUCUUUUUUUUUUUUUUUAAUGGAGUUUCACUCUUGUUGCCCAGGCUGGAGUGCAGUGGUGUGAUCUCAGCUCACUGCAACCUCCCGGUUUCAAGCGAUUCUCCUGCCUCAGCCUCCUGAGUAGCUGGGAUUACAGCCGCUCGCCACCACACCUGGCUAACUUUUUGUAUUAGUAGAGACGGGGUUUCACCAUGUUGGCAGGCUGGUCUCGAGCUCCUGACCUCCUGUGAUCUGCCCGCCUUGGCCUCCCAAAGCGCUGGGUUUACAGGCAUGAGCCACCGCGCCUAGCUAUUGGCUUCUCUCUCAGGUAGGUGUUUGCAGUGGCAAUGAGAUGGUCACUUGGAGCUCCAGGUGUAUAAUGCUGUAUCUGUUAUGAUACCUUCGGCUGAAAAAAAAAAAAAACCUUCCCAACUGAAAGAGAAAGAUUUUUUUGCAUGUUUGCAUAUCAAAUUUUUCAAAGACAGUCCCAGGGUUGGUUCAGCUGCUCAACAACAUUAGGCUCUGGUUGGCAUCUCUGAGACUGGUGUUCGUUCCCCUCCUGAGUACAAACUGUCUAUAGCAGCAUCAUGUUCUCACACACUGGCAUCUAAAUCAGGCAGUGUAGACCGGGGCCUCCCCUUCUGUGUUCCCCUUUUUUCCUCCUCAGAAUAAUUCUCCUUAUUUCUCUCUUGCCAGAACCCGGCUGUGUGGCUACCCCGAGUUGCAAAGCGGUCUGGGUAGUGAACAUCUGUCAUUUCCAGUUCCCAUGGUGGGGUGCAGCUUUGCCUAGAGGAAGCACGGGGAGGGGAACUAUUGUUGGGUAGGAAAUUAACAGGAUCUGCUGCCAUUGCAAGAAAUUAACAGGACUUGUAAUUGCCUUCAGAGCAGAUAACUUCAGAGGAAACAAUGUGAGAAUCAGCUGGCUCCCAGCUGCUGCGUCAUUCAGGAACAGGAUUCUGAUUGGUCCAGCGCAGACCUUGGAGACACCCCGGGCCAAUCAUUGGGUCCAGUUUGGAGCCUACUCUUGGGCCCGCCUCCUGCCUUUGCUGACUCCUCCUCCUCCUCCCCUGCCCAUCUUGCCCAGGAUUGGUCCAAAGCCCCUCUGGACCUCAUCCCUUUUUGCUGGAAGGAUGAAUUCAUCUCCUGGAAGCCAUAUAUGUAGGGGUCCCUUGACUGACAGUUCCAAAUGAAUCACACGGCAAUGGGCAAGGGACAGUCCCUCAAAGCAGUAGGUGUCCACUACAUUCUACCCUCAGCUACUUCACACUAAUUCACAUCUACAUUCCGGGACACAACAUUUCAAAAACUCCCACUGCAAAAAUUGGUCCAAUCACUGUGUCAGUUUGCUAGGACUGAUGUAACAGGUUACAAUAACCUAGCUGAAAACAACAGAAAUUUAUUCUCUCACAGCUCUGGAGGCCAGAAGUCUGAAGUCAAUGUGGUAGUAACCACCAGGCACAGUGGCUCAUGCCUGUAAAUCCCAGCACUUUGGGAGGCUGAGGCAGGAGGAUUGCUCAAGCCCAGGAGUUUGAGACCAGGUAAUAUGGUGAGAUUCUCUUAAAAAAAAAAAAAAAAAAUUGGCCGGGCAUGGUGAUGUUCACUUGUAGUUCCAGCUACUUUGGAGGUCGAGGUGGGAGUAUUGCUCGAGCUCAGGAGUUCGAGACCAGCCUGGGCAGCAUAGCAAGACCCUGUCUCUACAACUAAUAGUAGUAAUAAUAAUAAUAGUAAAAUUAUCCAGGCAUGAUGGUGCUCACCUGUAGUCCCAGCUACUCUGGUGGCUGAGGCAGGAGGAUCACUUGAGCCCAGGAGUUUGAGGCUGCAGUGAGCUGUGAUGGCACUGCUGCCCUGCAUCUCAAAAACAUGAUGCCGUGUGAUACAGCCAGAUACAAGGGUAUAUGCUGUAGGAUUCCACUUUUGUGAAAUUGUAGAAAGAAAACACUAAUAUGGGCGGGGCAUGGUGGCUCACGCCUGUAAUCCUAGCACUUUGGGAGGCUGAGGCAGGCGGAUUACUUGAGAUCAGGAGUUCAAAAGCAGCCUGGCACCUGUAAUCCCAGCUACCUGGGAGGCUGAGUAGGAGAAUCGGGAGGCGGAGGUUGCAGUGGGCCGAUCAUGCCACUGCACUCCAGCCUGGGCAACAGAGUGAGACUCCAACUCAAAAAAGAAAGAGAGAAAGAAAGAAAGAGAGAGAGAGAGAGAGAAGGAAGGAAGGAGAGAGAGACACAAAGAAAGAAAGAAAGAAAGAAAGAAAGAAAGAAAGAAAGAAAGAAAGAAAGAAAGAAAGAAAGGGGCCAGAGGCCAGGCACGGUGGCUCACCCUGUAAUCCCAGCACUUUGGGAGGCCGAGGCAGGUGGAUCACGAGGUCAGGAGUUCAAGACCAGCCUGGCCAACAUGGUAAAACCCCAUCUCUACUAAAAAUACAAAAAUUAACCGGGUGUGGUAGCGAGUGCCUGUAAUCCCAGCUACUUGGAAGGCUGAGGCAGGAGAAUGGCUUGAACCUGGGAGGCGGAGGUUGUAGUGAGCUGAGAUCACACCACUGAACUCCAGCCUGGGUGACAGAGUAAAAGAAAAGAAAAGAAGAGAAGAGAAGAAAAGAGAAAAGAAAAGGCUAAUACGCAGGGGCAGAAAAUGGAUUAGUGGUUGACUGGGGGCAGUGGCAGUGGUUAUGGAGAGACUGAUUACUAGUGGACACAGGAAAACUUUCCGGAUGAUGGAAGUGAUCACACAACCGAAUACAUUUGUCAAAAUUCAUUGCGUUUAAAAUUGGUUCAUUUAAAUUCUUGUACAUUGUUGCAAAAUACACAUAACACAAACUUUACCAUCUUAGCCAAUUUUUUUUUUUUUUGAGACGGAGUCUCGCUGCAAUGCCCAGGCUGGAGUGCAAUGGCAUGGUCUUGGCUCACUGCAACCUCUGCUUCCCCGGUUCAAGCGAUUCUCCUGCCUCAGCUUCCAGAGUAGCUGAGAUUACAGGCAUGAGCCACUUUCCCAGGACUUAGCCAAUUUUAAGUGUACAGUUGCAUUGUUGUGCAAUCAUCACCCCUACUCAUCUCCACUCUUUCCUCUUGUAGAAUUGAAACUGUUCCCAUCAAGCAACUCCCACUGCCUUCCCUUCCCAGCCCCUGGGAAGCACGUUCUACUCUCUGGGAAAUUCCCUAUGAAUUUGACUACUCUAGGUACCUCAUGUAAGUGGAAUCAUACAGCAUCUGUCUUUUUGUGAUGGGAUUGUUUCACUUAGCAUGAAUGUCCUCAGGCUUCACCCAUGUUGUAGCAUGUGUUAGCAUUUCCUUCCUUUUUAAGGUUAAAUAAUUUUCCAUUAUGGGCCUGGUGCAGUGGCUCACACCUGUAAUCCCAGCACUUUGGGAGGAAGAGGCAGGCGGAUCACGAGGUCAGGAAAUCGAGACCAUCCUGGUCAACAUGGUGAAACCCCAUCUCUACUAAACUACAAAAAAUUAGCCGGGCGUGGUGGCAGGCGCCUGUAGUCCCAGCUACUUGGGAGGCUGAGGCAGGGGAAUCACUUAAACCUGGGAGGCGGAGGUUGCAGUGAGCCAAGAUCGCACCACUGCACUCUAGCCUGGGCGACAGAGCGAGACUCCAUCUCAAAAAAAAAAUCCAUUAUGUGUAUAUACCACAUUUUGUCGAACCAUUUAUUUGUUGAUGAACAGCUGGGUUGCCUCCUUUACCUUUUGGGUAUUGUAAAUAAUGCUGCUAUGAAAGUGGGUUGCAAAUAUCUUUUUGAAAUAUUGAUCCAUUUUCUUGUACACAAAUUAUAUUUUGAUAAAGUUGGCUAAAACUAAUACUCCCACCUAACAUAACUAUCUCUAGUGCAACUGCAGAAGCUUUCACCCCUUCUGCAAAGGGAGGGAUCCCAAAGCCACAUCCAAUCCUCAGACCAAGAUUUCUGGAUAUUGGCUAUUCCUUUCAUCAAGGGCACAUGGAGUCUCUCUUGAUCCUGAAAAUUAAUGUUAAGGCUGGGCACGGUAGCUCACACCUGUAAUCCCAGCACUUUGGGAGGCCAAGGCAAGUGGAUCACCUGAGGUCAGGAGUUCAAGACCAGCCUGGCCAGCAUGGUGAAACCCUGUCUCUACUAAAAGUACAAAAAUUAGCCCGGCAUGGUGGCACACACCUAUAAUCCCAGCUACUCGGGAGGCCGAGGCAGAAGAAUCACUUGAACCUGGGAGGCGGAGGUUGCAGUCAGUGGAGAUUGUGCCACUGCACUCCAGCCUGGUGACAGAGCAAGACUCCAUCUAAAAAAAAAAUUAAUGUUAAAUGAAAUUGUAGCCCCCUCAGCAACCCACCCCUGUGUAUAACAGUGGAGGAAAAACAAGAAAACAAUCACAAUUCUCACUUGAAAGGGGAGGGAAGAGAAACAAAAUAGUAUAUGCCAUUUGCUAGACUUGCCAAGACUCCUGCACUUUCAAGAGACAAAAAACCGGCCUUUUAAAAAAUUAUUGCCAAGCUCGGUGGCUCAUGCCUGUAAUUCCAGCACUUUGAGAGGCUAAGAUUGGAGGAUCACUAGAGCCCAGGAGUUCGAGACCCAGCCUUGGCAACAUAGCAAGACUCCAUCUCUUUAAAAAAAAAAAAAAAAAAAUAUAUAUAUAUAUAUAUAUAUAUAUAGCCAAGUGCCAUGGUGUGCACCUGUAGUCCCAGCUACUCAAGAGGCUAAGGUGGGAGGAUCGCUUGAGCCCAGGAGGUCAAGGCUGCAGUGAGCCAUGGUUGAGCCACUGCAGUCCAGUCUGGACGACAGAGACCCAGUUUCAAAAAAAAAAUUAUUGAAGUACAACAUACUCACAAAGAAACUCACAAAUACCCAGUAAGUAUGGAUCAGAUGACAGACUGAGCACACCAUGUAACCAUGGGUAACCAGCCCUGGGUCAGGAACUAGAACAUUACCAGCUCUCCAAACCCCUCAUGCUCCUUGUCAGUCACUUUUUUGUGUUUUUUUUUUUUUUUUGAGACAGAGUCUCGCCUGGAGUGCAGUGGCGCUAUCUCGGCUCACUGCAAGCUCCGCCUCCUGGGUUCACGCCAUUCUCCUGCCUCGGCCUCCCGAGUAGCCGGGACUACAGGCGCCUGCCACUAUGCCUGGCUAAUUUUUUUGUAUUUUUAGUAGAGACGGGGUUUCACCGUGUUAGCCAGGAUGGUCUCG